rnacentral:rRNA from 1 species
GUGGGGAAUCUUGCGCAAUGGGGGAAACCCUGACGCAGCGACGCCGCGUGGAGGAUGAAGGUCUUCGGGUUGUAAACUCCUUUUGUAGGGGAAAAUAAUGAUGGUACCCUACGAAUAAGCCACGGCUAACUCUGUGCCAGCAGCCGCGGUAAGACAGAGGUGGCGAGCGUUGUUCGGAAUUACUGGGCUUAAAGGGCGAGUAGGCGGUAGAGCAAGUCCAAGGUGGAAGCCUAUGGCUUAACCAUAGAAUUGCCUUGGAAACUGUUUUACUUGAGUCAGUGAGGGGAGGGCGGAAUUCCUGGUGUAGCGGUGAAAUGCGUAGAUAUCAGGAGGAAGGCCUGUGGCGAAGGCGGCCCUCUGGCACUGGACUGACGCUGAGGCGCGAAAGCGUGGGGAGCAAACAGGAUUAGAUACCCCGGUAGUCC